GUGAGAUUUGAGGAAGAAUUAGCAAAUAGUGAUGAUGAAGGCAAGUCAUUACACUUGAGAGUAAACCUUUCAUUCAGUAUCACCAUACACUGAUAGAUACUGCACACAAUCUUUUACUUGCAGAGAAGUAGGCAGAGCUUGAAAGUUGAUGCCAAUCGUAUAGUUUAGAUCACAAGACUUUCAAAAGCUUAAUUACAGAACAACAUGAUGCACAAAGAUGGACAUGUGUUUUUGAGGGAAUAUGAAGAUGGUGAUAAGAAGCUUAGUAGUCGUAAGGUCAGCCAUGGAUCCAAUUUGGUGAGGGGACAAAUGGACCAUGGAAUGGAAGAUUAUCUCGUGGCAGAAACUAGAGAAGUAAAUGGCUAUGAGUUGGGUUUGUAUGCAAUUUUUGAUGGCCAUUCUGGUACAAAAGUUGCAGAAUACUUUCAAGCUCAUCUAUUUGAUAACAUACUAAGUCAGCAUGAAUUUUGGACCUACCCAAUAGAAGCAAUCAAGAGAGCUUAUAAAGCUACAGAUGAUGAGAUUUUGGAAAAGGUGGCUGAAUCAAGAGGCGGAUCCACUGCUGUCACAGCAAUACUUAUCAAUGGAGAGAAGCUAAUUGUAGCCAAUGUCGGCGACUCCCGAGCAGUUUUAUGCAGAGAUGGUUUGGCUGAGCAGUUAACAGUAGAUCAUGACCCUCAGAAGGAGAAGGAUCUUGUUGAAAGCAGAGGUGGUUGUGUUUUUCAGCUGCCAGGAAAUGUUCCUCGUGUGGAUGCGCAACUUGCUAUGUCGCGGGCAUUUGGGGAUGGUGACCUGAAGGAGCACAUAACUUCAGAACCAGAUAUCAACAUCAACAAGAUCGACACUGAUGCAGAAUUCAUUAUACUGGCAAGUGAUGGUUUGUGGAAAGUGAGUUACAUACACUAUCACAUUUAUGACUUCUCUCUUUCUGAACUGAACAUGAGAUUAAUCGAGUUGAUCAAAAAUUUUAUCUGUUCAUCCAGGUGAUGUCAAACCAGGAUGCUUAUGAUUGCAUUAAGGGUCUAGAUGAUGCUGAAAAAGCAGCAAAGAAGUUGAUUCAGAUAGCAUUAUCCAAGAAAAGCUAUGAUGAUAUCUCUUGCAUAGUUGUGGUCUUCGACUAG